GAUGAACGCUGGCGGCGUGCCUAAUACAUGCAAGUCGAGCGGUAACACUUCGGGUGACGAGCGGCGGACGGCUGAGUAACACGUAGGAAUCUACCCCAGACUGAGGGAUAAGCACCGGAAACGGUGUCUAAUACCGCAUACGCUCUAAGGAGUAAAGCUUCGGCGGUUUGGGAAGAGCCUGCGCAUGAUUAGCUUGUUGGUAAGGUAAUGGCUUACCAAGGCGACGAUCAUUAGCUGGUCUGAGAGGAUGAUCAGCCAGACUGGGACUGAGACACGGCCCAGACUCCUACGGGAGGCAGCAGUAGGGAAUUUUCCACAAUGGGCGAAAGCCUGAUGGAGCGACGCCGCGUGCGGGAUGAAGGCCUUCGGGUCGUAAACCGCUUUUGCCGGGGACGAAUAUUUGACGGUACCCGGCGAAUAAGGGGUUGCUAACUCUGUGCCAGCCGCCGCAGUAA
rnacentral:rRNA from 1 species